CUGGCAACACUUCCCACCUCUCUGACGUGUCAUGCUCUCUACAGAAACAGUGACGUGGCUUUACACAGGGCCAGUUGACACUGCCAACUCCUUAACCAAGCCAAUGAAAACGCAAAUGGUUUGCAAUACCUUUGGGCAAUUUUCUGAAAACUGAAGCAAGAGGUGAAAGGCAAACGGCUUUGUCUAAUUCCACCCAUUUGUAACAGCGCCUAAUGUUGGGUUAUUCUAAAGUUCAUCAACGGCUCUUUCAGCGAAAUUUUGUGAAACAGCAUACCGUCACUUGUCACACAUAAGACUCUAGGCAUGCUGGAUAGAGGAGUGUAUCUUUCUAGAAAGGUUAGGUUAUGCUGUGGUAACGAGACCCCCUGAGAUUCUGGGGGGGGGGUUACUUCUUGUUCAAAUGAGAUAUCCAUGGCAAAGCCACGGGGAUCCGGAACAUUCCUGGCCACCUGAUGGAGAGAAGGGUACGGGAGAAGCAUGUGCUGGCUCUGUUAGUUCCUGCCCGGCAGCGAGUUACAUGGCUUUGGCUCAUAUUCCCCCGUAAUAAGCCUUUAACAGGGACGGUGGCAGACUCUGAGAUGGAGGUCAGCAUGUAUGAUUAGGGAGCAUGCUUGGUUGGAGUCAAGGGGAAGGGAGCAGAACUGGGCCGAGAGGUGCCCGUGAUGCAACGCCAAGCCAAAUGGACUCCAGUCAAUGCUGCAGAAAGCUCUGGAGCUAGGACGAGCCUGUUCCAGCGUGGAGUGAAGGGAUAGGGCCCCCGCAGCCCUGACUGAGCUAGCAUUGGGUGCCAGCUGCCUCUAGAGGAGACGUGACCUGGGAAGUUCGUUUUCUCCAGCUGGAGCCAUCGCCACAGAAGGCUGCCUGCUGAGAACCACCUCCCAGGAGCAGUCUCAGUACCCGAGGGAAUGAACCUCUCACUCCCAAGUGGGAAUCCAAGCAGUGCACAGCAACAUCCACCCAAGUCUACACCUCGUUCUGCUGUGAUCCAUUUCCUCUCAUAGCUCCUGAGGGCAGCUCCUCCUGGUUCCAGUGGGCCUCCAUCCCUGGAGGAGGGUUGCCAGUUUUAGCAAAUAAAAAUGCAAAACUCCCAG
rnacentral:lncRNA from 1 species